UACAGACCGUUAUAUUUAUAUAAGGUAUAAAGUGCUUAGACUGGGUGAUUGAUGUACGGCAGCAUUUGCUGACAGCCCAUAGAUAAAUGUGUGUCCAUUUGAAUGCAAACAGCGAGAUAUUAAGAUGCAUAUUGUCUCCGCCAAGUGUAAUAUACAUAUGUCUGCUUAUGAAGCGCACAUAUAUACAUAGGUAUUUUUAUAGAUAUACGAUUUUCGAUUUUCGUGUAUAUAUAAGCAGCUCUGUUUCUGUUCAGUCUCACGGCAAUUGUCGAUUUUCAAUGCAAUGCGUUGUCAAACCAGAAAAAAAUAACUCACGUGUUUACAAAACAAUUAAUUUUCUUUGGAAAAAAAAAAAAACAAGAAAAGCAGCAAACUAGCGCUCGAGCCAAAGGAGGGAGCGGGAGGGUUAAAUGCAAUAGGAAGAAAAUGAAAAAGAUACCGAAACAUAACUCAAACAAAAGGCAACUACACAAAUGCACUAAUCGCUGUGCACUUCAUUUGUAUAGAAACAAAAACAACGGCAACAGCAACAACAACAAUAACAAGAAGGAGAAGAGCUGCAGAUACUUGAGCGCUCACUAUUUGAUACUUGGCAAGCAUUCACGCGCAUUUAGAAAGCAUCGGAACCCAACUGCAAACAGAGAUGAGAACCCAGUAGUCUUUGAAAUAGAAAAGAUGAAGAUGAACAAAAAAAAAAAAAAAAAAAAAAAAAAGAGGAAAAAGAGAAAAAAAAAAGUGCAGCGUGCUUUUGUGUAAUCCAUUUGAACCGGAAGCAAUUGGGCCGACGAUACCGCUGUCGGUGUCGCUGCCAGCGAUGCAAUCCUCUCGAGAAAUUGAACAAUUUUAAAUAUUUAGUGCACGAGACAAGCGAGGGCAAAGCCACAUGCAACCGGAUCACAUGCGUUCGCCCGCUCACUCGCUCGCUGCUAACUACAAAGCAAACAUCAUUGACUGGGCUAUUGACAAGUGUAUCUGUAAGAUGUUUUUUUUUUCGAGUACUACGAGUGAACAGCUCUAACAUCUUUAUGGAGAGCACGCACUACAAGCAAAUUUCUUAUGCUCAGCUUAAAUAUAUAUUGUAAGCAGAAAAGCUGUCAGUGACUGUGGCUACUGAUUUGGCACAGUUAUUUGAGAGCUAUAGCUUUAGGAUACCAAAGACGGUGGAGAUGCUGAAAAAUGCUGGCUAACCUCUCGCUUUCCCCACCGAAAUUCCUGAAGAUUGCGACAAUAAAUUUGUGGAUAUAUGAAAUUAUUAUCCACGAGCAGUGAAGCUGUCAUCAAAUGUAUCUACGUCUUCAUAAAGCUUAAGCAGACAGUAAUUAAUAAAAAGAACAAACACUAGA